rnacentral:tRNA from 1 species
GCCGAGGUGGCCCAGACCGGGACGGCGCAAGCCUGGAGAGCUUGUGGGUCUUGUACCCUCGGGAGUUCAAAUCUCCCCCUCGGCG